UACAGAGGUCUCAAGCGUUGUUCGGAUUCAUUGGGCGUAAAGGGUGCGUAGGCGGCGCGGUAAGUCGGGUGUGAAAGUCCAGGGCUCAACCCUGGGAUGCCGGUGGAUACUGUCGGGCUAGAGUCCGGAAGAGGAGAGUGGAAUUCCUGGUGUAGCGGUGAAAUGCGCAGAUAUCAGGAAGAACACCCGUGGCGAAGGCGGCUCUCUGGGACGGUACUGACGCUGAGGCGCGAAAGCGUGGGGAGCGAACAGG
rnacentral:rRNA from 1 species